CCCAUCAGUGAUGACGAGCUCAUCGAAUACAUCCUCACUGGCUUGAGCCCUGAGUUCGAGUCAUUGGUGUCUACCCUUGUUACGAGGGUGGAGCCUGUCACGAUGGAUGAGCUUUACUCAUAGCUUCUCACUUUUGAUA
rnacentral:snoRNA from 1 species